ACGCUGGCGGCGUGCAUAACACAUUCAAGUCGAACGGUGAAGGGAACUUCGGUUCCCCGAUCAGUGGCGGACGGGUGAGUAACGCGUGAGCAAUCUGCCUCUGUGUGCGGGAUAACAACCGGAAACAGUUGCUAAUACCGCAUAACGUAUUCGGGUCGCAUGUCCUGAAUACCAAAGGCUUGCUGCACAGAGAUGGUCUCGCGUCUGAUUAGCUAGAUGGCGGGGUAACGGCCCACCAUGGCGACGAUCAGUAGCCGGUCUGAGAGGAUGAACGGCCACAUUGGGACUGAGAUACGGCCCAGACUCCUACGGGAGGCAGCAGUGGGGAAUAUUGGGCAAUGGGGGAAACCCUGACCCAGCAACGCCGCGUGAAGGAAGAAGGCCUUCGGGUUGUAAACUUCUUUUAGUAGGGACGAAGAACGUGACGGUACCUACAGAAAAAGCAACGGCUAACUACGUG
rnacentral:rRNA from 1 species